rnacentral:rRNA from 1 species
AUGCUUACUCGAAAUCAAUAUUCCCCGGUUUCUUACGAGAUAAGAUAUGUAUGCCGGUCCAACCAAAGGAAGGGUGGUUUUGAGCUUGGGUUUCAGGUGCUGGGCUUUUCUACUCAUGAAGUGCGGUGCGCAUCUAAAAGAGUGGAAUAUCCCAUUCUUCUAUUAAAGAAAGAAUCGAAUCUGCCGCUUGUUUUUCUAGCUAGAAAAUCCCUUGCCCAACAGGAACAGGAUCUCUUGCCGGCACCGGCACGAAUCGAACUGCGGACCAGGCGUGUGGAAACGGAUCUCUUGGAUGCUCUGGGAUUGGGGAAGCGAAAGCAGUUAUCGAGUCAAGUUAGGAAAGAAGUCGAGCUACUACGGUACAAGAAGAAUCUGUAUUCGCAAUGA